rnacentral:rRNA from 1 species
GUGUCAGCCGCCGCGGCGGUAAUACGGAGGGGGCUGGCGUUGUUCGGAAUUACUGGGCGUAAAGCGCGCGUAGGCGGAUUGGAAAGUUGGAGGUGAAAUCCCAGGGCUCAACCUUGGAACUGCCUUCAAAACUAUCAGUCUAGAGAUCGAGAGAGGUGAGUGGAAUUCCGAGUGUAGAGGUGAAAUUCGUAGAUAUUCGGAGGAACACCAGUGGCGAAGGCGACUCACUGGCUCGGUACUGACGCUGAGGUGCGACAGCGUGGGGAGCAAACAGGAUUAGAUACCCUGGUAGUCCACGCCG